AUGGCUAUAUCAUGUUGAAACAUCAGUUCUCGUCCCGUCACUGAAGUUAAACAACAUUGAGCCUGAUCAGUACUUUUAUGGUUGACUUCUGGGGAAUACCAGGUGCUGUAAG